GAUGAACGCUGGCGGCGUGCCUAAUACAUGCAAGUCGAGCGGACAGAUGAGGAUCUUGCUCCUCUGACGUUAGCGACGGACAGGUGAGUAACCCGUGGAUAACCUCCCUAUAUGACUGGGAUAACUUCGGGAACCCGGAGCUAGUACCGGAUAAUAUAAUCAACCGCAGGGUUCAAUAGUAAAAGACGGUUUUGCUGUCACUUCUAGAUGGAUCCGCGCCGCAUUAGAUAGUUGGUAAGGUAACGGCUUACCACGGCAACGAUGCGUAGCCGACCAGAGAGAGGGUUCGGCGACACUGGAACUGGGACACGGGCCAGACUCCUACGGGAAGAAGCAGUAGGGAAUCUCCCGCAAUGGGCGAAAGCCUGACGGAGCAACGCGGCGUGGGUGAUGAAGGUCAUGGGAUCGUAAAGCUCUGGUACUAGGGAAGAACAACUGUGUAAGCAACUAUACACGCCUUGACGGUACCUAAUCAGAAAGCCACGGCUAACUACGUG
rnacentral:rRNA from 1 species